GACGAACGCUGGCGGCGUGCCUAAUACAUGCAAGUAGGACGCAGUUGCGAACGGGGGAGUAAAGCGUAGGUAACUACCUAUUAGAGGGGGAUAACUAUCGGAAACGAUAGCUAAUACCGCAUACUCGUAGAUGGACCUACGUUGUAUUAGCUAGUAGGUUGGGGAAUGACCUACCUAGGCAACGAUACAUAGCCGACCCGUGUGGGUGAACGGCCACACUGGGCCUGAGAGCAGGCCCAGACUCCUUCGGGGAGCAACAGUUGGGAAUCUUCGGCAAUUGGGGGAACCCUUACCGGGCAACGCCGCGUGAGUGAAGAAGGUUUUCGGAUCGUAAAGCUCUGUUGUUAAGGAAGCGGUACUUAACCAGAAAGGCACGGCUAACUACGUGCCAGCAGCCGCGGUAAUUC
rnacentral:rRNA from 1 species